CUAACACUUUGCAGAGUUUGAUAGUACUUAACUAUAGCCCUAGCACUCCAGAGACUGAAGUAAGAGGACCACGAAUUCAAGGCCAGCCUGGUCCAUAAGCUAGUUUCAAUGUCAACUUGAUGCAAGCUGGAGUCAUCAGAGAGGAGAGGAGAGAGCCUCAAAUAAGAAAAUUACUCCAAGCUGUAGGCCCAUAAUAUCCAGAGAGGCAGGCGGAUCUCUGUGAGUUCGAGGCCAGCCAGGCUGUGGUGGCGCACGCCUUUAAUCCCAACACUCAGG